CCGUGACACUUCUGCCUCCCAACGAUAGGGUCCUGUCGAAGCUCUCCCCCUGCCACAGGGGAUCCUACUGACGUCGACGAUCUGAGACCUCAGGAGGAAAGUUCGUCAGUUGAUGAAGAAAUCUAAGAAGCUGGAAGAUGAACUUCACCGACUGAGGAAGAGCCACUCGGAAGUCGCUGCGGAGGCCAUUCGCCUUCAGGACCUCCACAAAAGGGGACUC
rnacentral:lncRNA from 1 species